CCAGGAUGGGGGCCAAUUGUCUUUAGAUAUUACUGACACAUCAGCUCCCAUAUCCAUAAGCCCAUAAAAUUCCUUUCCUUUAAUUUGUACUACACAGGUGGGUCUAUUAGAGGCUAUGGGAUGGGAUAGAUAAAUUUUUCAUGUAGCUGUGCUCCCAAACCAUUUAUUUUCUCAUUUCUUCUUUUGCAGAGAAGGGUGUAAUUUGCAGGGAAUAAGCAAUAAUUGAGCAAUAUACUCUCCUGGUUCAAAACCCCAAAGAUCUUGUGACAUUAAAACUACUUGAAUUUCUCCUUCAUAAUCAGAGUAAACAACUCCUGGGACUACAAUAAUGCCCUGUCUGCUGGAGUUUGCUGAAGGUCCACUGCCGACCCUACUUUCCUGGGUAUCACCAGCAGAGGCUGCAGAAUAGCAAAGAUUGCUGCCUGUUCUUUCUUCUUGAAGCUUCAUCCCAGAGGGUCACCUGCCAGAUGCCAGCCAGAUCUCUUCUGUAAGAGAUUAUAUCCCAUGUGCAAAUAAGAAUGUAUAUUCUGGGAGGUGGUUCCAAGAUGGCCAAAUAGGAACAGCUCCAGUCUACAGCCAGCAUGAGCAACACAGAGAUGAGUGAUUUCUGCAUUUCCAACUGAGGAUGUACUUACAGAAGCUCUGGUACAAGUACACAGAGACAUUCAUUGCAGCACUGUUUGUGAAAAUGAAAUAUUGUAAUAAACCAAAAUAGUAAUCAACAACAAAAUGGAUGUUUAAAUAUAUUGUUCCAUGGAUGCCAAAAAUGUCACAUGUGUACUCUGAAAUAGACUAUUUUUGGCAACAGAUUUAAAAGGUGACAAUGAGUGUUGGAGAUAAAAUAGAAAGAAAAUUUUAAAAACAAAACCUUGAAUAAAAAAGGCAAGCUGCAGAAAAUUAAAAUGUAAUAAAAUUUAUGUUGAAAAUAAAGUUCAGGCAAGUAAGAUUAUGACAAAUCUAGAGUUCUAUUUCAGGCUU